rnacentral:rRNA from 1 species
AUUGAACGCUGGCGGCAUGCCUUACACAUGCAAGUCGAACGGCAGCGCGGGGGCAACCUGGCGGCGAGUGGCGAACGGGUGAGUAAUAUAUCGGAACAUACCCUAGAGUGGGGGAUAACGUAGCGAAAGUUACGCUAAUACCGCAUACGCACUAAGGUGGAAAGUGGGGGAUCUUCGGACCUCAUGCUCAUGGAGUGGCCGAUAUCUGAUUAGCUAGUUGGUGAGGUAAAGGCUCACCAAGGCGACGAUCAGUAGCUGGUUUGAGAGAACGACCAGCCACACUGGAACUGAGACACGGUCCAGACUCCUACGGAGGCAGCAGUGGGGAAUUUUGGACAAUGGGGGCAACCCUGAUCCAGCAAUGCCGCGUGAGUGAAGAAGG